rnacentral:rRNA from 1 species
CCUACGUGAGGCUGCAGUGGGGAAUAUUGGACAAUGGGCGAAAGCCUGAUCCAGCCAUGCCGCGUGUGUGAAGAAGGCCUUCGGGGUGUAAAGCACUUUCAGUGGGGAAGAAAGCCUUGGGGCUAAUCCCCUCGAGGAAGGACAUCACCCACAGAAGAAGCACCGGCUAACUCCGGGCCAGCAGCCGCGGUAAUACGGAGGUGGCGAGCGUUAAUCGGAAUUACUGGGCGUAAAGCGCGCGUAGGCGGUCUGAUAAGCCGGUUGUGAAAGCCCCGGGCUCAACCUGGGAACGGCAUCCGGAACUGUCAGGCUAGAGUGCAGGAGAGGAAGGUAGAAUUCCCGGUGUAGCGGUGAAAUGCGUAGAGAUCGGGAGGAAUACCAGUGGCGAAGGCGGCCUUCUGGACUGACACUGACGCUGAGGUGCGAAAGCGUGGGUAGCAAACAGGAUUAGAUACCCGAGUAGUC